ensembl:lncRNA novel transcript
ACAUUCCUAUCCUGGAAACAUACUGCUGCACUGACUUUUCUCCGUGUGACCCCACAAUUGACAUGGCUCCUCCAUCCCAGCGCUGGAAGGGCCAGUGGGAAGAGGAAAUAGAUGUCUGCACUCCUGGCUGCAGCUGGACAACAGAAGCCCCAUGCCGCCUGUCCAGUUCGGAGGAGAACUAGCUGCUGCCUUGCCUUCCGGGACCUCGUUUGCUGAGGAGGGACUUACAGACUCCACUGGUGUUUUGCUGUUGCUCAUUCCAUGCAUCUUUGGCAGCUCUUUUCUUCUGCUCAGACCCUUCCCCGUGCUCAGACAGUGCACCGCUGUCCCAUCUAAAGAAACCUGUCAGGAAUACGAGCUUCUGGAUGAAGUUUUGCUCUUGUUGCCCAGGCUGGAGUGCAAUGGCGCAAUCUCGGCUCACUGCAACCUCUACCUCCCGGGUUCAAGCAAUUCUCCUGCCUCAGCCUCCCAAGUAGCUGGGAUUAUAGGCAUGCGCCACCACGCCCAGCUAAUUUUGUAUUUUUAGUAGACAUGGGUUUCACCAUGUGGGCCAGACUGGUCUCGAACUCCUGACCUCAGGUGAUCCAGGCGCCUCGGCCUCCCAAAGUUCUGGGAUUACAGGCAUGAGCCACUGCGCCCGGCCUAAGCUUCUAAUUUCAAGAUGUCAUCAGACAGCAGGGGGACAGUGGAGUCAAACCUGCCAACUCUACCCCCUCCCGCACACUCCCCACCAACGCACUCUCAGCUGCAGUUGCCUAGGGCAAAGGCUCUGCAGGUGCAGACUCCUAGAGAGCCCUGGACAAUUCAGAAAGAGCCCCUGAGGGGAGAAGCCUAGUCCUGUAGUCAGAGGCUUUCUGAAUUCCCAGAGCUGCACGGCUCAGCCAAAGACCAGAAAAGCCUCUGACCACAGCCAGAAGGCCCUGCCUUGUUUGCUAAGGCCGCCCCAGCCAUGGGGCUGAGGAAGAGGAGAGGGCAUACCUGAGUCUGGGCGCCCAUUCCCAGAGGCCACGCAGAAGCCGAAAGUGCCCCCUGGGGAGCGCUGCAGCUGCAGCUGGCUGGUGCCGUCUGGGAACACCUCCACCAGGCGGCCCACGGUGCGAGCCAGGCUGGGAGCACCCACGUCCUCCACACUGAGGGCACGCCGUGGUGAAGUCUUGGCCGGCCUGCGAGGGAACCAGAGACACAGUGAGGGCAAAAAGCAUCAGGCACUGGGCACAGCUCUUCCCUGGCUUACAGAUGACCGAUGCCUCACAGACUUAAGAGCCUGGCAUUGGAGGCUGGGGUUCUGCUGACUUCAGCCAGCAAAAAGAGCCUGCUAGGGCCAAAACUGGUGGGUUUCCGCCGCUGUGCAAGGCCCCCCAAGGCCUGCUGUGGAACUAGAAACCCCACCCUCCCAAAGCAGUGGUUUCAAAUUUUGGGGGGUACAGAGACCUUUGUAAGAAUCUGACAAAAGGUAUAACUUUAUGUCACAUUUCCAGGAGCUAACAUACACCCUGAAGUACAUCCACGCCCCAGGAAAGAGCAGCCAGCCUACAGGGCCUCAUCGGACAGGGUGGGAUUUUCCAAGCAGGUCAUGGGUCACGGGCCUCUUUGGGGGCCUCUGUCUCUAUGUGUUUAUUCAGAUCUUUAGCUGGGCUAAGAAAACUCUCUAAACUUUCUGAUUUCAAGAUGUCAUUGCACAGCAGAGGGACAGUGGAAUCAAACCGGCCAACUCUACCCCCUCCAGCGACCCCAGGCCUUCUCAGAGCCCAAUGCACCGAGGGUCCAUGCAGGGCACUGAGGUGCUGAGACUCCCGUGGCAGCCUCGUCUCCACACAUCACAUGUCCUGUUGCUUUCCCUUCAAAGGACCCUGCUCAGAGCCAUGAUGCUGAGGCAGGAAGGAGUUAAGCUUUUGGCUCCGCUGGUCACUCUCUGAGUUUAUCCUCCAAACCAUGUGUGCCCCUCAUACCUGCCAGCUGCACUGUGGUCCCCUGGCCCUGCUACCAGGUAGAGGCUGGACCGGUUCCCCUUGCUGCUCAGCAGAGAAUGGAGGUUCUGAAAAGAGGCAGCUUUCCGACGCUGGUGAGAGGGUGACACCUGAUGAGAAAGGGACAAUAUUGCGGGUGAGAAAAGCUACCUGGGAGGUGCUGACAGAGGACUUGGCCCCACCAUGAACCUGAGGGCCCUGUAAGAAAGUGACAGCACAAGCUUUUAUCAUUGCUUCCAAGAAUUCAACAGGAACCACCAUGACUUACUCAAGGACAUCAUGGGUCUACAUAGGCCAUCUGAGGAGUCAAGGGAGUUUUUGUUUUGCUUUUUAGCUGAAAUAACAACUUUAGUGCUAUACUAAUUUCCUCAUUGAUUAAGGAAAUCUAAUGUACUCAUUAAGGAAGAAAUGAAAGUAAGUUUAUUAUACAGUAAUAAAUAUCACUUUAGAGUUAAAA